rnacentral:lncRNA from 8 species
UGGGGAUAUAGUGACCUAUCGAUUUUAAAGGCUUAAUUUAAACUAUAUUGUCUGGCUUCUACAUAUUAUCACAGUUUUAUGGUACAAACUGGAACUCUUGACUAUUAAACUUCUCUUCUAACCUAAAAUCAGUGAAGACCUCCUCUUCCUGGGCAACAAGAGACACCAUAUUUCUCUCUAUACUCAACACCUCUUCCUGGGCAAUAGGAGACUCCAUAUUUCUCUCUAUACUCAACACCUCUUCCUGGGAAAUAGGAGACACCAUAUUUCUCUCUAUACUACUCAACCAAGGGGCAGACAAACUCCUGAAAAUACAGUUUGGUACGGAUAUUCCUCCUUUGUCUGUGUUUAUCAAGAUUUUAAGGAUUUAUUUAAUGGGAAUAAAAUACACAAUAUGGAAUGUUCUCACCGUAACCUCAGCAGGAUUAAAAGAGAACACCAGCUGCUUCUGAGAAUGAAGUCACUGGGAUUAUAGGAGAGACUGUUCUCCUGUCCUGUGACCUGAAUUCAUCCACGGCCAUCGACACAGCAAGACUCCGGUUCCAUUGGCAAGAUAAGUCCGGAAAAGUGUUGUACUCGUUCAACAAAGGAGAAGAGAAUAAACAUCAGGAUAACCUUUACACAAACAGAACUAAAGCCUUUGGGUCUGAGAUGAGUUCUGGGAAUAUCUCUAUCAAACUCAGCCAAGUAACACUUGAAGACAAGCAGACCACCUACUGGGCUUUCGCUACACUGUUUGACGAGAAUGGUAACUCUAUCCUCGACGUGAAAAAGUGUGUCCCACUACCGUACAUGUGGCAGGUAUGGUUGAGUUAAUAACACAGGAGGCUGUUGAGGAGAGGCUAGCUCAUAAUAAUGUCUGG